UUUUUCGAGUGUGACAAGUUCAUUGAAAGCGCUGCUGCGAUUCACAUUGUAAUAUUAUUAUAUUUUAUCGUAUGUCAUAUGACGUAUAAUCCACGCAUAGUCGUCACUCGGCGUGUAUGUAAUAAUGAUGUACACAACAGUGAGCAGACACACUACAACGGUACCCAGCUAAGUAUGUAACAACGGCAUGUAAUUAAAUAUUUUAUUAUUACUAUAAUAAUACCUACUCCGAAUCGGUUGCGGGCGGGUACGCGUUUUUAGUGUCGUUAUUUUGUGAUAAUUGCUCUCGGGUAUGUGUAUUAUUAUACAAGUAUUGAGUCAUUAAAAAGCAAGCCGUCUAGAAAUAUGAUUGCCAGACUCGGAGGAAUCAAUUAAAUUCGUGAUGUUUGAAAGGAUUAUUUUACUCUCAGAGUGAAAAUCGGAAACCACGGGAAAUCGUGACGAUAGGCAGACAGCGCGUAAGAUGCGCAAAAUUCUUAUAAGGACAGAAUGCCAAUGUCCACGGAGGAGUGCGUAAACAAAAGAAGAAGAAAAACGCUUUGAAAUGUAGGUCAUAACCGCCAAACAAAAAAAAAAUCGGUUUAAGUCGCGAAGUCAUAUCAUAUAAAUUGUAUAUGAUAGGAAAAUCGUUCGUCGGAUCAUGCGAUUUAAUAAUAUUACUGUUGUCAGUAUAUUUUUCUGCGGUUUUGUAUGUUAUGGACAACAAUUCGAUCCGAUAAAAAUGACC